rnacentral:rRNA from 1 species
CCCUGCUCCUUGCACACACCGCCCGUCGUUUCAUUGAAGUUUGCUUUUAGCGAGGUGACGUCUGAUUGGCGUUAUCGAACUUGAGGUAAGCGACAAGGGAAAAGUCGUAACAAGGUACCC